rnacentral:rRNA from 1 species
AAUAGAUACCCCGGUAGUCCACGCCGUAAACGAUGAGUGCUAAGUGUUAGGGGGUUUCCGCCCCUUAGUGCUGCAGCUAACGCAUUAAGCACUCCGCCUGGGGAGUACGGUCGCAAGACUGAAACUCAAAGGAAUUGACGGGGGCCCGCACAAGCGGUGGAGCAUGUGGUUUAAUUCGGAGCAACGCGAAGAACCUUACCAGGUCUUGACAUCCCAUUGACCACUAUGGAGACAUAGUUUUCCCUUCGGGGACAACGGUGACAGGUGGUGCAUGGUUGUCGUCAGCUCGUGUCGUGAGAUGUUGGGUUAAGUCCCGCAACGAGCGCAACCCUUGUUCUUAGUUGCCAUCAUUUAGUUGGGCACUCUAAGGAGACUGCCGGUGACAAACCGGAGGAAGGUGGGGAUGACGUCAAAUCAUCAUGCCCCUUAUGACCUGGGCUACACACGUGCUACAAUGGACGGUACAAACGGUUGCCAACCCGCGAGGGGAGCUAAUCCGAUAAAACCGUUCUCAGUUCGGAUUGUAGGCUGCAACUCGCCUACAUGAAGCC